AGCCUAUAGGUUUACCAGGAGCAGGGUAGUAACACACAUGAGUAAAAAAGUAUUUUUUUCGUGGAACGGCAACUUUCCAUAUUCCUUUUUCAAAACGGUACUUCUACUUUUACUCAAGUACAUUUUUGAGCCAGUAAUCUACUUUUUACUUUGCUACAUAUUCAAUUGCCUUUCAUUACAAGUACAAGUUUAUUAUCGGAGGAGAGAAUAUUUUGAAAGAAGCGCACCUCUCCCUCGGUGUACAACGGCAUUGGGAGAAAAGAAACAGGGCUUCAGAAUGCAUUUCUACACUCUACUAUCGCCCCGCGAUUAUAAAAGUAAUAACUGGCCUACCGGUAUGUAGAAUCAAUCAGAUCACGUUGUAGCCUACUACACGGAAGUAGAUGUUCUACAUAUCUAACAGCUCAGUUAACGCAAUGACGUCCUGCCAGCUGCUGCA